UCCACGCCGUAAACGAUGAUUACUCGUUGCAUGCAAUACACCGUAUGUGACUUAGCGAAAGCAUUAAGUAAUCCACCUGGGGAGUACGUUCGCAAGAAUGAAACUCAAAGGAAUUGACGGGGGGCCCCGGCACAAGCGGAGGAACAUGUGGUUUAAUUCGAUCAUACGCGAGGAACCUUACCUGGACUUAAAUGUAGCGUGACCGUACUCGAAAGGGGUAUUUCUCUUCGGAG
rnacentral:rRNA from 1 species